GAUGAACGCUGGCGGCGUGCCUAAUACAUGCAAGUCGAGCGAAUGGAUUAAGAGCUUGCUCUUAUGAAGUUAGCGGCGGACGGGUGAGUAACACGUGGGUAACCUGCCCAUAAGACUGGGAUAACUCCGGGAAACCGGGGCUAAUACCGGAUAACAUUUUGAACCGCAUGGUUCGAAAUUGAAAGGCGGCUUCGGCUGUCACUUAUGGAUGGACCCGCGUCGCAUUAGCUAGUUGGUGAGGUAACGGCUCACCAAGGCAACGAUGCGUAGCCGACCUGAGAGGGUGAUCGGCCACACUGGGACUGGAACACGGCCCAGACUCCUACGGGAGGCAGCAGUAGGGAAUCUUCCGCGAUGGACGAAAGUCUGACGGAGCAACGCCGCGUGAGUGAUGAAGGCUUUCGGGUCGUAAAACUCUGUUGUUAGGGAAGAACAAGUGCCAGUUGAAUAAGCUGGCACCUUGACGGUACCUAACCAGAAAGCCACGGCUAACUACGUGCCAGCCGCCGCAGUAA
rnacentral:rRNA from 1 species